CGGAGUCUCUAGGGCACCAGACUUUUUUAAAAAAACGAAUCCCCAAGCGAUGCCAAUGUGCAGCCAAGUUUGAGAAAUGGUGCCUCGGACCUUGCCAGCCAGCACUCCGCUGAAGGCAGCAGCCUCGCUGCUCUCCAUGUAGGACGUGCUGUCCCGGGCAUCGGGCAGGCUUUGCAGGGGAGGUUCGUGCGCCAACGCCCUGGUGCUCUCUCCGCCCCUGGGCCCGGCUGGGCUGGGAGACGGCGUGUCUCCAGGUCCCGGUCGGCGACCACACGCGCGCGAGGCCGCUCCGACUUCCCUGGUUCUCUCUGCCCCCACCGCACGCAGGGCUCGGCGGCGCCACGCUGCCCACCCCAACCAAGUUCAAGGGAAACGCCGGGGGCGCGGGGAUCCUACCUUGGCCGCCGGCGCUGCCCGCCGGUCCCCGGGAUCCGGAGGCGCAGGAUGGCUUCCCCGGAUUCUUUGUCAGAGUCGAAGAAUGAAUCACGGACAGAAGAUGGUAUAGCGAAGGUGGAAAUUUACUGAAGAACAAGUACAGACUCCCACGUGGGGAGGCGGACAGAGUCCCACCGAGUUCCUUUUUCCUCGUCUAUAAAGGCUGCAGUUUUUGUGCCUCAAUAUCCCCUCUGAUUGGCCACCAUUCCCCUUUGAUUCGGUCACUAUAGCAACUCUUGAGCUCAAAGGUCAUACCUCACAUGGGACACAUGAAGCCUUCCUUCUUUGUUUUGUAAAUACAGACCUUUGGCUACUCCCAGUUCCCUUAUCUUGUGGAAAUGUAACUGUUGCCUCUCCCAACUCCCUUGUCUUAUGGAAGUGUACCCUUUUGUAACUCUGUAGCCCUGUGUUUUUUUCCAUGGACCCCCCCCUUAAUUUAAAAAAUGCCCUAAACCUGUCUAUUUCACCCCCCAAAAUUCCUAUUUCAGCACGACACCCAAAAUGGAACCUUGUACCAUGUGGCUCAAAACACAGCUGCUGAGCUAAAUGAGGGGCAGGUGUGCGUCUUUGUUUGUUUGCAUGAGAAGCAGGAGAGAAAGGGUUUUAAAUGAUCUUAAAAACGAGGACCAGAUGGCAAAUAAGCCCCCAGGCUGCUGGCAAACAGGUUUUAUUUGUAUUUUCGUUCGAAUGAUCUUUAUAAUUAAUUUUUUUUCUUCAAUGAGUAUACAGUAAAUCUGACUCUUUAAAAUGUUGGUGUUCAGUUCCCUGGAUUUUAGCACACAUACAGAUUUGUGUAGCUGCCACCAGAGUGAGGCUACAGAACAGCCAAAAAAAACA